UACGGGGGGGGCAAGCGUUGUUCGGAAUUACUGGGCGUAAAGGGCUCGUAGGCGGCCAACUAAGUCAGACGUGAAAUCCCUCGGCUUAACCGGGGAACUGCGUCUGAUACUGGAUGGCUUGAGGUUGGGAGAGGGAUGCGGAAUUCCAGGUGUAGCGGUGAAAUGCGUAGAUAUCAGGAGGAACACCUGUGGUGUAGACAGCUUACUGGACCAUUUCUGACGCUGAGACACGAGAGCGUGGGUAGCAAACAGG
rnacentral:rRNA from 1 species